CGUGAGACAGUUUGGUCCCUAUCUGCAGUGGGCGUUGGAAGUUUGACGGGGGCUGCUCCUAGUACGAGAGGACCGGAGUGGACGAACCUCUGGUGUACCGGUUGUGACGCCAGUCGCAUCGCCGGGUAGCUAAGUUCGGAAGAGAUAAACGCUGAAAGCAUCUAAGCGUGAAACUCGCCUGAAGAUGAGACUUCCCUAGGGAUUUAAUCCCUCUGAAGAGACGUUCGAGACCAGGACGUUGAUAGGUCGGGUGUGGAAGAGUGGUAACACUUGGAGCUAACCGAUACUAAUUGCUCGUGAGGCUUGACUCUAU
rnacentral:rRNA from 1 species